AUUAAACGCUGGCGGCGUGCCUAAUACAUGCAAGUCGAGCGCAGGAAACUGACGGAACUCUUCGGAGGGAAGGCAGCGGAAUGAGCGGCGGACGGGUGAGUAACACGUAAGGAACCUGCCUCAAGGAUUGGGAUAACUCCGAGAAAUCGGAGCUAAUACCGGAUAGUUCAUCGGACCGCAUGGUCCGUUGAUGAAAGGCGCUCCGGCGUCACCUUGAGAUGGCCUUGCGGUGCAUUAGCUAGUUGGUGGGGUAACGGCCCACCAAGGCGACGAUACAUAGCCGACCUGAGAGGGUGAUCGGCCACACUGGGACUGAGACACGGCCCAGACUCCUACGGGAGGCAGCAGUAGGGAAUCUUCCACAAUGGACGAAAGUCUGAUGGAGCAACGCCGCGUGAGUGAUGAAGGUUUUCGGAUCGUAAAACUCUGUUGUAAGGGAAGAACACGUACGAGAGGAAAUGCUCGUACCUUGACGGUACCUUACGAGAAAGCCACGGCUAACUACGUGCCAGCCGCCGCCGUAA
rnacentral:rRNA from 1 species